UACGUAGGGGGCAAGCGUUGUCCGGAAUCAUUGGGCGUAAAGAGCGCGUAGGCGGCCCAGUAAGUCCGCUCUGAAAGUCAGGGGCUCAACCCCUGGAUGCGGGUGGAUACUGCUGGGCUAGAGUCCGGAAGAGGUGAGUGGAAUUCCUGGUGUAGCGGUGAAAUGCGCAGAUAUCAGGAGGAACACCGGUGGCGAAGGCGGGUCUCUGGGCCGAUACUGACGCUGAGGAGCGAAAGCGUGGGGAGCGAACAGG
rnacentral:rRNA from 1 species